rnacentral:rRNA from 1 species
UCCUACGGGGGGCAGCAGUGAGGAAUAUUGGUCAAUGGAGGAAACUCUGACGCAGUGACGCCGCGUGCAGGAAGAAGGUUUUCGGAUUGUAAACUGCUUUAGACAGGGAAGAAACAAGACAGUACCUGUAGAAUAAGCUCCGGCUAACUACGUGCCAGCAGCCGCGGUAAUACGUAGGGAGCAAGCGUUAUCCGGAUUUAUUGGGUGUAAAGGGUGCGUAGACGGGAAGGCAAGUUGGUUGUGAAAUCCCUCGGCUUAACUGAGGAACUGCAACCAAAACUAUCUUUCUUGAGUGCUGGAGAGGA